UACAGAGGGGCAAGCGUUAUUCGGAAUUAUUGGGCGUAAAGGGCGCGUAGGCGGCUUUGCAAGUGACGGGUGAAAUCCUCGGCUUAACCGAGGAACUGCCUGUCAGACUGCAUCGCUAGAAUCGUGGAGAGGUGAGUGGAAUUCCGAGUGUAGAGGUGAAAUUCGUAGAUAUUCGGAAGAACACCAGUGGCGAAGGCGACUCACUGGACACGUAUGACGCUGAGGUGCGAAAGCGUGGGGAGCAAACAGG
rnacentral:rRNA from 1 species